UUGAAUAAAUUGUUUCUUUUUUUGUUUUUGCAGCGUCUUCAUAUGCAUAACAAAGAAGUGAGAGUGCCACAACAGCCAGCAGUGAAGAACACAAUGAUUCCACAUGUACUGUCAAGUAGAGGCAUGAAGCAAAAAGAAUCAUCCACAAAGUGAACGAUUAAACUGUUCCUGUGCUGCAUUGACUGGUCGCAGAUACGGGAUCAUAAGAUGCCUUGAGUAACCAUAUUCACUGUCGCAGAUCACUUUUCCAGCGUGUUGAACUUUAAGAAAUUUAUUAAACAAAGAUCAUAUAUUGUAUUGGAGUGAAUUUGAUUUGAAUAUUUAAAUGUAUUUAUUAAUCAUCAUAAAGUUAAUGUAAACAUUAUUUCUGCUUGUCUAUCCAUGAGCAAUGGCUUAAAUACAUUGAUGCACAUACAAUUUUUAUACAUUGUUAAAUACAAAUUGUGUUCACUAGUAUUUGUGGAAUGUUAGAAAACGUACCAUUUUCAAACUGAUCUUUUAGUUCGCAGUUUCUCCAAAUUCGGGCAUCAUGUGUCCGCCCUGGCCAGUUGGCAUUGAAACUUGUUAUUUUGUAUUGUGCAUCACAGACAGCCUGUGAAUAUGAAACGUGCAUAACAUUGUUUCAACACAUUAUAUAAAUUAACUAAAUAAUAACUAUUUUAUUUAUUUUUUCUAUAUAAGUUGAUAUACAACUGAUGACAUGUUUCUUAGUUUACUAAUGACAACCGGCUAAAAUUAACAUGUAGUUGUUUACUAAAUUAUUUUUGUUAACAAUAAACGUGUAUCAAAUAAAAACAAUUAAAUCAAGUUUCAGCAUUACACAAAAUUAUUUGUUAAG